AUCCAGGUGACGAGUCCCAAAUAGGACGAAACGCGUGUCCUGGAU
rnacentral:hammerhead_ribozyme from 1 species